UACGUAUGGAGCAAGCGUUCUCCGGAUUUACUGGGUGUAAAGGGAGCGUAGACGGCAUAGCAAGUCUGAAGUGAAAUCCCACGGCUCAACCGUGGAACUGCUUUGGAAACUGUUAAGCUGGAGUGCAGGAGAGGUAAGCGGAAUUCCUAGUGUAGCGGUGAAAUGCGUAGAUAUUAGGAGGAACACCAGUGGCGAAGGCGGCUUACUGGACUGUAACUGACGUUGAGGCUCGAAAGCGUGGGGAG
rnacentral:rRNA from 1 species